ACUCCUACGGGAGGCAGCAGUGGGGAAUAUUGCACAAUGGGCGCAAGCCUGAUGCAGCCAUGCCGCGUGUGUGAAGAAGGCCUUCGGGUUGUAAAGCACUUCAGUCGUGAGGAAGGUAGUGUAGUUAAUAGCUGCAUUAUUUGACGUUAGCGACAGAAGAAGCACCGGCUAACUCCGUGCCAGCAGCCGCGGUAAUACGGAGGGUGCGAGCGUUAAUCGGAAUUACUGGGCGUAAAGCGCAUGCAGGUGGUUGUUAAGUCAGAUGUGAAAGCCCGGGGCUCAACCUCGGAAUAGCAUUUGAAACUGGCAGACUAGAGUACUGGUAGAGGGGGUAGAAUUUCAGGUGUAGCGGUGAAAUGCGUAGAGAUCUGAAGGAUACCGGU
rnacentral:rRNA from 1 species